CUCAGUCAAGGUCUUCCCCAGCCCAGCUACAAACAGACCCUCCCUUCGACCCUUCUAUUACAUCUCAACUGGCUGAACCUGAUGAUGUGACACCAAGCUGUUCUGAGAGUGCAUACAGUAAGGCAAAGAAGAGAGAGCUUCAUGCCUGGGAUGCAGUCAAGGAUGAGAUGCUUAAGGUGUCGUUGAAUGUUCAGCACCAAUCACUACCCAGUGUGUUGUCUGCCGAGAACAUGCUGAUUAUAGGUGCCUUGAGUGCAGCUCCACUGCAGUGUUUUGUGAGGUUUCCCUGAAGAGGACUUUCACUGCAUCUUCCUGAAAAGUGGAUUAAUGUUUACUAUGAGCCAUCCUCCCUGGGGUUAUUCUUAUAUUUACCAGAAGACCAUGGCACCCAUGCUGUGUACACAAAGAACAUGAAGGUCAUUGUCAGCACAGGACGGCUCUGCACCGUUACAGUCAACAUGUGUGCGUGUGAACCAGAAACCUGUACUCUGCUAAGGUAUGAGCUCUGGCCAGCAACAGCCGACAAGCCCCAGACAGCCUUCUCCAUCCCUCUGCUAGAGCUUUUUGUUUGUCUGUCACUGGAGUGUCAGGUUUCUGUUGAGGGUUUUUGCAACACCCCAUAUCCCAUUUUAGGCAUCACCACUUCCGACAAAGAAGUUUGGUUGAUAUUUGCCCACAUUAAAUGAUGGAACCAUAUGCCCAGCAUGUCCAAAGGCGGAUGGAGAUAUGAUUGUCACAUUGGAUGCCAACUUUGGCCUUGUGAGGAAGCAAAGCUCCAGUACAAGUGCAGUUGAGGUAUUACAUGGAACCCGCAUGUUUGUUGAUGAAGAGGAUGUAGAGGAAUACCUGCUAUCACAUCUUGACAGCUCAAAGCCUCAAGAGGACUGCAGUAAGCUGCUCUCAUUCAAGGUCUCCAACAGCUGGAAAGAAAACGACAUCAAGCCACUGUGAUGUUUAACCCACAUGUACCAGACAUUGUUCCUGC